GAUGAAGAACGUAGCGAAAUGCGAUACGUAAUGUGAAUUGCAGAAUUCAGUGAAUCAUCGAAUCUUUGAACGCAUAUUGCGCUCUCUGGUAUUCCGGAGAGCAUGCUUGUUUGAGUAUCAGUAAACACCUCAACUCCCCUUUCUUUUUUUGAAAUGGGAGCUGGACUUGAGUGAUCCCAACGCUUUUCUCACCGAAAAGUGGCGGGUUACUUGAAAUGCAGGUGCAGCUGGACUUUUCUCUGAGCUAAAAGCAUAUCUAUUUAGUCUGCCUAAAAAACAGAUUAUUACCUUUGCUGCAGCUAACAUAAAGGAGAUUAGUUCUUGUGCUGACUGAUGCAGGAUUCACAGAGACAGCUUCGGCUGGCCUUUGUAAACUCGAUCUCAAAUCAAGUAAGACUACCCGCUGAACUUAAGCAUAUCAAUAAGCGGAGGA
rnacentral:misc_RNA from 1 species